rnacentral:rRNA from 1 species
CAGCAGCCGCGGGAAUACGUAAGGUGCAAGCGUUAAUCGGAAUUACUGGGCGUAAAGCGUGCGCAGGCGGUUUCGUAAGACAGAUGUGAAAUCCCCGGGCUUAACCUGGGAACUGCAUUUGUGACUGCGAGGCUAGAGUGUGUCAGAGGGGGGUGGAAUUCCACGUGUAGCAGUGAAAUGCGUAGAUAUGUGGAGGAACACCGAUGGCGAAGGCAGCCCCCUGGGAUAACACUGACGCUCAUGCACGAAAGCGUGGGGAGCAAACAGGAUUAGAUACCCGCGUAGUCCCUGUCUCUUAUAC